UGGGGAAUAUUGGACAAUGGGCGAAAGCCUGAUCCAGCCAUGCCGCGUGUGUGAAGAUGGUCUUCGGAUUGUAAAGCACUUUAAGUUGGGAGGAAGGGCAGUAAGCGAAUACCUUGCUGUUUUGACGUUACCGACAGAAUAAGCACCGGCUAACUCUGUGCCAGCAGCCGCGGUAAUACAGAGGGUGCAAGCGUUAAUCGGAAUUACUGGGCGUAAAGCGCGCGUAGGUGGUUCGUUAAGUUGAAUGUGAAAGCCCCGGGCUCAACCUGGGAACUGCAUCCAAAACUGGCGAGCUAGAGUAGGGCAGAGGGUGGUGGAAUUUCCUGUGUAGCGGUGAAAUGCGUAGGUAUAGGAAGGAACACCAGUGGCGAAGGCGACCACCUGAGCUCAUACUGACACUGAGGUGCGAAAGCGUGGGGAGCAAACAGG
rnacentral:rRNA from 1 species